GAGUCUGGUUUUGACAUGUGGCAGAGAGGUAGCAGGAAUCCUGAGAGACGGCUGUAACGAGGAGGUGGAGGCCCCACGGCAGUCCAGUUCUUUCCAGAGGCAGACGAAGCUGAGCGCGGCCUGAACAGCCCAUGGAAAGACAAAAGCUGGCCCUGGCACAUCAGGAAGAUGAGCUGGCACCCAGGUUGGCAUGUGGCAGGAGCUCGGCCAGGGGCUGCAACACAGCCAGCAGGCAUGGGCUGGGAACCCUCCUCCUGGGAGAUGCCGAGCACUUUCCGAUGCUCCCCUCUGCUGUGAGAUAUCAGGCACAGAGCUAUCCCAGCCCUCCCGAGGUGAUGAACGGUCAUUAGCUAAUUAAUCCCCAUUCUCUCCCCUCAGCAAGGGAGUUCCAGCUCUGCCACAUGGAGGCACAGCAGCGGGCAGUGCUAAUCCAGCUCGCCUUCCCUUCGCCUGCACAUAACCUGAUGGACAGGGCUGUCCAGGCAGUGACUGCUCUGGGGCUGACAGAGCUGGCACGAUUCUGCUGCGGUGGGCUGUAGCUACAGCCUGGAUCUCUAAAUCUUCUCGGCUUUUUAGGUCACUUUGUUCUGCGUAUAAAUCCUGGCCCUGUUAUGCAAGCCAUAAAUCUUUCUCUCCAG
rnacentral:lncRNA from 7 species